CAGUCGCCGCGGUAAUACGUAGGGUGCAAGCGUUAAUCGGAAUUACUGGGCGUAAAGCGUGCGUAGGCGGUUAUAUAAGACAGAUGUGAAAUCCCCGGGCUCAACCUGGGAACUGCAUUUGUGACUGUAUAGCUAGAGUACGGCAGAGGGGGAUGGAAUUCCGCGUGUAGCAGUGAAAUGCGUAGAUAUGCGGAGGAACACCGAUGGCGAAGGCAAUCCCCUGGGCCUGUACUGACGCUCAUGCACGAAAGCGUGGGGAGCAAACAGGAUUAGAUACCCGGGUAGUCCCUGUCUCUUAUAC
rnacentral:rRNA from 1 species